GCGGAUGUGGCGGAAUGGCAGACGCGCCAGACUUAGGAUCUGGUAUUUAACGAUGUGGGGGUUCAAGUCCCUUCAUCCGCACCA
rnacentral:tRNA from 1 species